CCCAGGUGAUGAGAAAAUGUUGUUUUGUAAAGUUCUGAAAAAAUCUCUUUUGACCUUGAAAUGUGUUCAGCCCUUUCUCUCUUAUUGCAGUCCUGGCAGUUCUACCUGUGGUGAAUUAAUCUCUUUGUUAGCUACGUCUGAGUGCUCAGGAAAAUGGAUCCCUCAGCUGGUGCUGUUUGGAGAGGUUUUGGAGUAGAGGAAAACUCCAGCUGGAAGCACAAAGUCAGUACUCAGGGGAGGGCAGCUCUGUCCAAAAGAGCCUUCAGGUGGGUUCCCAAGGAGUGCAUGGGAAAUAAGCUUUUUUCUGUCGUGGAAUCAUAGAGUUCUAAGAUUGGAAAAGCCCUCCAGGGUCUAAGUCCACCUAUUCCCCCAUCAGUGACCAGGAC
rnacentral:lncRNA from 12 species